CCCUUAGAUGUCCUGGGCUGCACGCGCGCUACACUGAUGUGUCCAGUAAGCACCUAACCUCUUCCGAAAGGAACGGGUAACCUUUGCAAAGCACAUCGUGAUGGGGAUAGAUUAUUGCAAUUAUUAGUCUUGAACGAGGAAUUCCUAGUAAGCACAAGUCAUCAGCUUGUGUUGAUUACGUCCCUGCCCUUUGUACACACCGCCCGUCGCUCCUACCGAUUGAAUGUUCCGGUGAGCUCUUCGGACUGCGCGGUCUGCAGUUUCUGCGUUCCGUGCGGAAAGUUGCGCAAACCUUAACAUUUAUAGGAAGGAGAAGUCGUAACA
rnacentral:rRNA from 1 species